rnacentral:rRNA from 1 species
GAUGAACGCUAGCGGCAGGCUUAACACAUGCAAGUCGAGGGGUAACGUGAGUGCUUGCACUUGACGACGACCGGCGGACGGGUGCGUAACGCGUAUAGAAUCUGCCUUGUACAGGAGGAUAGCCCAGAGAAAUUUGGAUUAAUACUCCAUAAUGUUAUAUAGUGGCAUCAUUAUAUAAUUAAAGAUUUAUUGGUACAAGAUGACUAUGCGUCCUAUUAGUUAGAUGGUAAGGUAACGGCUUACCAUGGCAUCGAUAGGUAGGGGGUCUGAGAGGAUUAUCCCCCACACUGGUACUGAGACACGGACCAGACUCCUACGGGAGGCAGCAGUGAGGAAUAUUGGACAAUGGGCGAGAGCCUGAUCCAGCCAUGCCGCGUGCAGGAAGACUGCCCUAUGGGUUGUAAACUGCUUUUAUACAGGAAGAAACCUGCUUACGUGUAAGUAGUUGACGGUACUGUAAGAAUAAGCACCGGCUAACUCCGUGCCAGCAGCCGCGGUAAUACGGAGGGUGCAAGCGUUAUCCGGAAUCAUUGGGUUUAAAGGGUCCGCAGGCGGUCAAUUAAGUCAGAGGUGAAAUCUCACAGCUUAACUGUGAAACUGCCUUUGAUACUGGUUGACUUGAGUCAUAUGGAAGUAGAUAGAAUAAGUAGUGUAGCGGUGAAAUGCAUAGAUAUUACUUAGAAUACCGAUUGCGAAGGCAGUCUACUACGUAUGUACUGACGCUCAUGGACGAAAGCGUGGGGAGCGAACAGG